AAAUUAAAUUUGAUAUGUUUUAGCCAUGAAAACACUAAAAUAGCAAAACGACUUUUUUCAAAUUAUUUUUUUAACUUCUAAGAUUAAUUUUUUUGAAAAUUGCUUUUUUGACCCUAAAACUUGAUGCCAAAUAGGGCCUUCAUCUGCUGGAAAAUUUUGAAAAAAAAAAUUAUGGGGAGAAUAAAACCUUCUAAGUGAUGAUAAAUCCAUGUCAUUAUGGUCAAGUGAUUCCUCAUUUAUGUAUGAUUUUGCUAAUGCUGCUUCUAUCACUAUGUUAAGGCUUCA
rnacentral:misc_RNA from 1 species